GCCAUUCCUGCAGGCAGUGCAGAGUCUGUUCCUGCCCAUGGUGUUACAUUGUGAAUGUGGGAUCCGGGCAGGUGCUGCACAGCUCUGCUGGCACCUGUGAGCACGUGAUCUUCACCUCACAGGUUCUUCAAUGGAGAAAAUAAGGGGCCACCUCACCGCUUGUCAAGAGAUUGGUUUGGAGGGUCCACAGAGGGCCGCAGGACCAUCUACAAUGUCCCUGGUGUACAGACAGCGUAUGCUCAACCCCCUUGACUGUCAGUCACACCCCUCACUCGCCUGACCUGGCCGAAGUUGGCUUUUCUUGGAACCAUCUGGAUAAACCUUGUGUCGGGGCCCAUCACUUUCAAAUACGGAGACAAACAUUUUCAGCAAGAACGCCUUCGAUGUCACCACGAUACAGGUGUCAAAACCUGGGCAUUGGUGUUGACUAUCAUGACCAACCGUUCAAGUUCUCCCGGUCUUCCUGUGAUGUCCUUUUAAUGAGAAUCAGAGAAUUUGAUAUGGGCUAGAGAGGUGGCUCUCUUGAUGAAGUGCUUGCCACACCAACAUGUGGCCGGAACCGAAUCUCCAGAACCAGGUUUUUAGAGAGCAGAGAGUGAUUAUGUGUGCUGGUAAUCCCAGCGCUGGGGUGGGAGAGGCAGAUUCUGGGGAUUUGCUGGCAGACCACCCAGUAUCCUUGGUGAGUUUCAGUGAGAGAGCCUGUCUUAAAAAGAAAGAAAGGAUACCCACGGUGGGAGCGAAGGAUGGCUCCGUGGGUGAGGCUUUGCUAUGUAAGUGGGGUGACCUGAGUUUGACCUCUAGAGUGAGAGACCUCUAGAGAGAGAGAUGAUGCUGUAGAGUUGUCCUCUAACCUUCACACAGACAUCAUACACACAAAUAAUAGUAAUACAAUUUUAAAAAGUGGAUGACUUCCGAGAAAGACAACUCAGACUGACAUCUGCACACAUAUAUGCACACGGAAACACACACACACGAACACCCCCACAUAUACAAUAUUUGAACAUGCAUGCAUAACAUAUGUACACAUAUACAUACGUACAAAAACAACAGAAAACCAGUAGUGGUAUUUACUAGGGACUAUCCGAGCAUUAUUGUGGGACUACUUGCACCUUAGGAAUUACGUCAUAUUCCAGGAAACUAAAGCUAGAGGACAUUUGUAAGCAUAAUAUGAGGAGGAUUACACCAGACGGUUUGGUUACCAGAGCACUGACAGUCUAAGGUUAAACAGGUGUUUCCUUGGCAAGGCUUCUACCAAUAGCAGUAGGUGUUAUAAAUAACCUUUUGUUCACAAACCCCCUGUGUGUGUGUGUGUGUGUGUGUGUGUGUGUGUGUGUGCGUGCACACAUGUGCAUACGUGUGCAUAUAUGCCCCAGGUCCAUGUCAGUUGCCUGUCUCAAUCACUCUCUGUCUUACUUUGGGGCAGGCUCUCUCACUGAGUCUGGAACUCACUGAUUCAGGGAGGCUGAGCAGCAAGGAUCCCCGUUUCUACCUCCCUGAUGCUGGGAUGGCAGAUGUGGACCGCUAAGCCCUGCCGAGGAUCUGAACUCAGGUCUUCCUGCUUGUAUUUACCCUCGGAGCCAUCCUCCCAGCCCAUACACUUCCAGCUUGAUUUCCUUCUGUUGUUGUUAAGGUUGACACAGACAACACCAUUUUGAACUUGACAGCUUUGACAUUUCGCUUACAUAAGCAGAAAGGAUCCAGAGCAGAAGUGUGUGGUGUUUGAUUGUCACGUCUUUUAUGUCCCUUCCGUCAGGGAGUCUCUAGCCUUUUAUUAAUUUAUGAUGACAACAUUUGAGUAUUGCUGAGCCAGCCAAAGUUUUCUGCUUUCUGAUGUGGGGAUUGAAUGGAGGUUUCAACUCUGGAAGGAACAGUAUGAAGUGACACUGUUCCCAUGGUGUGAUUUCCAUCCACUUCAUCCCUGGUAUUACUGUGCCAAUUGAAUGAGGUAGCGUUUACCUCAUUCAGAAAUGAAGUUAUUUUUGCUUUGUAAUUAGUUAAAUAUUUUGUGGAGUGAUACUUUGAAACUACAUAAAAAUUCUUUUACUCAUCAA